CCCUUCGGCCCUUCACUUCUCUUUCCCUGCCCUCUCCCUCCGCCGCCACCACCAGCCCCCGUCCUUCCCCGAUUUCGGCCUCCCUUCUACGACGUCGGACCCCUCCUCGCCUGUCGUGUCGUCGACUCGUCGCCCCAUUCCUCCGUGAGCGCCGCCCCCUCCUCGGGUCCUAUCUCCCUCCCUCUGUCUGCUCGCCAACGCUCCGUGUGGGCGCUCUGGUGGUGGCGGCGGCGACAUCGUGGUCGCGGCGUGCCGGGUCCCCGUCGUGCUCGGGCUACGCCGCCUCCGCCCUGAGCGCUGUCCGGCCGGUUGCCCCCUCCUCCCUGAACGCGCCUCUAGCUCCCGCUUGCCCCCCCCCCCCCCCCCACCCACCGUCCUUUACCCUCCGCUGCUGCUACCUCCACCCCAACCUUCCCCAGAUCUGCGCCGCCCCAGUUCCCCACCGCCCCUCCUCCUCGCGCCCGCUGCCUUCCGUUGCCGGGACCGCAGCUUCUCUCCUAAGCCAAGUGCCGCGCGUCCUGCCCCCCAUCGACCGCGGCAUGGCCUCCGCGGCCGCCGCCUGGGCGCUGUCGCAUCCUCAUCCUCCGUCCCUCUGCCUUCCACGGUAAAGAGGCAGCUGGGCGGCGGCCACUCGGGCGGUGCAGUGAGCGGGCAUCUCGGAUAGCUUCACGGCGAGUGGGAUGGCCGGAAUGGCGGCACGGCGAGCGGGGUGGCACCCGCAGCAGCACAACGAGCGGGUGUGGCGCCCGUGAUGCCUUAUGUUCUAGCUAGGCUGGCUUCUCGAGUGCCCAGGUGGCAACCUGAUCUGAGUUAAGAUGUGAUGGCAGCCAUGCCUCUGGCUGUCACCUGCAUUGCAUGUUAGCUGUUCGAUGAAAUACCCCAAAGUAUCCAACAACACACCGCAGAACUUCUAAUCAGAAAAUGUCAGUAUGAUGCACUCUUUAAAAAGAUUGACCUCCCUCAAGCAGAAGAGGACGUCCUCCCUUGAGCAGCAAAGACCACCUCCAUAUCUCUUCCACCAGCAGCGAGAAACAAGCCACCAGCCACAAGGGAACUGAGCAAGGUCUGGAACUGGAAGAUGCUCCAUUGUUAGAGAACAAAGGAUAGGUCCUAUUUGUGAUUUAUGGUCUUAUACUGCAUAGGUAAUUAAGGUAGUAAAUAUGUGGCUGAGUGCAGCAUCACCAGUGUACAACAUCUCAUGUAAGUUACAUUUGCUAGUGCAAAUGAUAUAUGGCUGUAAGGAGUGAUUUGUUUCCACGACAAAAUAGCUGAAUGGCUGUAUAAUAUUUGGAUAACUGACUGAUUCUGUUGGGUCUUGUUGGGCCUUGAAAGUUGUCAAGUACAAAUGGUCUUGUUGGGUCAUAUUUUAUGACGAAUCAAAUUGUCAUAUUUGGAUUGCCA